GAUGAACGCUGGCGGCGUGCCUAAUACAUGCAAGUCGAGCGAACAGACGAGGAGCUUGCUCCCCUGACGUUAGCGGCGGACGGGAGAGUAACACGUGGAUAACCUACCUAUAAGACUGGGAUAACUUCGGGAAACCGGAGCUAAUACCGGAUAAUAUAUUGAACCGCAUGGUUCAAUAGUGAAAGACGGUGUUGCGGUCACUUAUCGAUGGAUCCGCGCCGCAUUAGCUAGUUGGUAAGGUAACGGCUUACCAAGGCAACGAUGCGUAGCCGACCUGAGAGGGUGAUCGGCCACACGGGAACUGAGACACGGUCCAGAGUCCUACGGGAGGCAGCAGUAGGGAAUCUUCCGCAAGGGGCGAGAGCCUGACGGAGCAACGCCGCGUGAGUGAUGAAGGUCUUCGGAUCGUAAAACUCUGUUAUUAGGGAAGAACAAAUGUGUAAGUAACUAUGCACGUCUUGACGGUACCUAAUCAGAAAGCCACGGCUAACUACGUG
rnacentral:rRNA from 1 species